rnacentral:rRNA from 1 species
UACGGAGGGAGCUAGCGUUGUUCGAAAAUACUGGGCGUAAAGCGCACGUAGGCGGCGCAGCAAGUCAGGGGUGAAAUCCCGGGGCUCAACCCCGGAACUGCCUCUGAAACUGCAGUGCUAGAAUCUUGGAGAGGCGAGUGGAAUUCCGAGUGUAGAGGUGAAAUUCGUAGAUAUUCGCAAGAACACCAGUGGCGAAGGCGGCUCACUGGCCCGGUACUGACGCUGAGGUGCGAAAGCGUGGGGAGCAAACAGG